AACGCACCUUGCACCUCUUGGUAUUCCGAGAGGUACAUCUGUUUGAGUGUCAUGAAUCUCUCAACCUCUACACUUUCUUGUAAAGUGCGGAUGCGUUGGAUGCUGAGCGCUGCUGUGCAACAGCUCGCUUUAAAUGUAUAAGCAAUCUUCGUACUACUCGGAUUGACUUGACGUGAUAAGAUCUUCGUCGAGGAUGCUUUUACAGCAGCCGAAUGUAUACAAGUCGCUUCUAAAUCCGUCUUUGUGCGACCCCUUUAAUUUAGACCUCAAAUCAGAUGGGACUACCCGCUGAACUUAA
rnacentral:misc_RNA from 1 species